CCUCUGGAGCCACAGGAUCCCAGAUCCUUUUAACUAUGCAACUUGAUGUUUUUAAAUAAACAGAGAUGUGUCUUACUCAGCAAGAGAGAUUAAAUUUAGAGCCUAUGCCAAUAUGCAGAUUUGAUUUAACAGGUUCUGCUUACCUUUUGCCUUGUAGUCAGGGAUCCCUUAUUCUCUCUCUCACUGAGUCGUCCAGUCUCUGGCUCGCGUCACUCUUUCUGAAGAUCACGUCGGGGUCACCAAUUUGAAGGAAUUCCCCUCAGGGAGUCGUCACCUUCA